AACGAACGCUGGCGGCAGGCCUAACACAUGCAAGUCGAGCGGCAGCGCGGGGGCAACCCUGGCGGCGAGCGGCGGACGGGUGAGGAAUGCGUCGGAAUCUGCCCCUUUGUGGGGGAUAACGUAGGGAAACUUACGCUAAUACCGCAUACGACCUACGGGUGAAAGUGGGGGACCUUCGGGCCCCACGCAGAGAGAUGAGCCGACGCCGGAUUAGCUAGUUGGCGGGGUAAAGGCCCACCAAGGCGACGAUCCGUAGCUGGUCUGAGAGGAUGAUCAGCCACACUGGAACUGAGACACGGUCCAGACUCCUACGGGAGGCAGCAGUGGGGAAUAUUGGACAAUGGGCGCAAGCCUGAUCCAGCCAUGCCGCGUGUGUGAAGAAGGCCUUCGGGUUGUAAAGCACUUUUGUCCGGAAAGAAAAGCUUCCGAUUAAUACUCGGGAGUCAUGACGGUACCGGAAGAAUAAGCACCGGCUAACUUCGUGCCAGCCGCCGCAGUAAUAC
rnacentral:rRNA from 1 species